rnacentral:rRNA from 1 species
AGUGAACGCUGGCGGUAGGCCUAACACAUGCAAGUCGAACGGCAGCACAGUAAGAGCUUGCUCUUACGGGUGGCGAGUGGCGGACGGGUGAGGAAUACAUCGGAAUCUACUUUUUCGUGGGGGAUAACGUAGGGAAACUUACGCUAAUACCGCAUACGACCUACGGGUGAAAGCAGGGGAUCUUCGGACCUUGCGCGAUUGAAUGAGCCGAUGUCGGAUUAGCUAGUUGGCGGGGUAAAGGCCCACCAAGGCGACGAUCCGUAGCUGGUCUGAGAGGAUGUUCAGCCACACUAGAACUGAGACACGGUCCAGACUCCUACGGGAGGCAGCAGUGGGGAAUAUUAGACAAUGGGCGCAAGCCUGAUCCAGCCAUACCGCGUGGGUGAAGAAGGCCUUCGGGUUGUAAAGCCCUUUUGUUGGGAAAGAAAAGCAGCAGGUUAAUACCCCGCUGUUCUGACGGUACCCAAAGAAUAAGCACCGGCUAACUUCGUG